rnacentral:rRNA from 1 species
GACGGAGGGUGCAAGCGUUGUUCGGAUUCAUUGGGCGUAAAGGGUGCGUAGGCGGCGCCGUAAGUCAGGUGUGAAAUUUCGGAGCUUAACUCCGAAACUGCAUUUGAUACUGCGGUGCUUGAGGACUGGAGAGGAGACUGGAAUUUACGGUGUAGCAGUGAAAUGCGUAGAGAUCGUAAGGAAGACCAGUGGCGAAGGCGGGUCUCUGGACAGUUCCUGACACUGAGGCACGAAGGCCAGGGGAGCAAACGGG